rnacentral:rRNA from 1 species
AAAGGAAUUGACGGGGACCCGCACAAGCGGUGGAGCAUGUGGUUUAAUUCGAAGCAACGCGAAGAACCUUACCAAAACUUGACAUCCCAUUGACAGAUCCUUAGCCGGAUUGUUCCAUGCUUGCAUGGACAAUGGAGACAGGUGGUGCAUGGUUGUCGUCAGCUCGUGUCGUGAGAUGUUGGGUUAAGUCCCGCAACGAGCGCAACCCUUAUCUUUAGUAGCCAGCAUUAAGUUGGGCACUCUAGAGAGACUGCCAGGGAUAACCUGGAGGAAGGUGGGGACGACGUCAAAUCAUCAUGCCCCUUAUGUUUUGGGCUACACACGUGCUACAAUGGCUACUACAAAGGGAAGCAAAUGGGUGACCAUAAGCAAACCUCAAAAAAGUAGUCCCAGUUCGGAUUGUAGUCUGCAACUCGACUACAUGAAGUUGGAAUCGCUAGUAAUCGCGAAUCAGAAUGUCGCGGUGAAUACGUUCCCGGGUCUUGUACACACCGCCCGU